GUGCUAAGGUAGCAUAAUCAUUUGCUACUUAAUUGGUAGCUGGAAUGAAAGGUUAAACUAGCUUACUCAGUUUGUUGUGUUUUGUAAGAAAUUAAAGUCGAGGUAAGAAUUCUUUGAUCUGCUAGGGGACGAUAAGACCCUAGAAGCUUAACAAUAAGAGUAUUUAUUAGUUAUAAAAAUUAAUUUGUUUUACUGGGGCGGUAAAGGUAUAUAAACUAUUAGUGUAUUGAUAGAUCCUUAAAAUAAAGAUAAAACGGGAAAGUUACUCUAGGGGUAACAGUGCAAUAUUUUUGGAGAGAUCAUAUCGAUAAAAAUGUUUGCAACCUCGAUGUUGAAUUAAGAUGUCUACGUGAAGCAGCAGGUACGUGAGAGGGUUUGUUCAACCUUUAAAUUUUUACAUGAUCUGAGUUCAAACCG
rnacentral:rRNA from 4 species